UUAAGGUCUGGCCUGCCCACUGAAGAUUUGAAGGGCCGUGGUAUUUUGACCGUGCUAAGGUAGCAUAAUCAUUAGUUUUUUAAUUAAAAACUGGAAUGAAGGGUUAGAUAAGAAAAUAGCUGUCUCUAUUUAAUUUUAUUAGAAUUUUAUUUUUAAGUUAAAAAGCUUAAUUAUUAUUAAAAGACGAGAAGACCCUAUAGAGUUUAAUUAUAAAAAUAAAUUUUUUAUUUUAGAAUUUAUUUAUUAAUUUUUUUUAUAAUUUAAUUGGGGUGAUUAAAAAAUUUAAUAAACUUUUUUUGUAUAAUUACAUUAAUUUAUGAAUUAUUGAUCCAAUUAUUUUGAUUACAAGAUAAAAUUACCUUAGGGAUAACAGCGUAAUUUUUUUAGAAAGUUCAAAUUGAAAAAAAAGAUUGCGACCUCGAUGUUGGAUUAAAAUUUAUUUUUGGUGUAGAAGCUAAAAAAUUAGGUCU
rnacentral:rRNA from 1 species